rnacentral:lncRNA from 1 species
GGUUCCCGCCCGCGCCUCUCCCUCCACACUUCGCCGCAAGCAGAGGGAGCCGGCUCCGGCCUCAGCUGGCCCAGAGAGGGGCUCCCUCAGUGCAGUGGCGAGCUGAAGGGCUCCUCAAGGGCGGCUGGAGUGGACGCUGAGGCCGAGGAGACGCCAAGAGCAAACGAGGGCUGCUAGUACAUUGUCACCUCUCACUGGUAACUACAGUUGCUGUCAGUUUAACUGUUGAUAUUCUGGAAGCAAGAUCUUGGAAGGCCAAGGACAGGUCAUUUCUUAGGACUGUGCAAAAGAGAAUCAGUCUUUACAGUAAGCUAUUUGAUUCUAGUAGUUCUUUCAUCUCAGUCUUUUGAAAGCAACUUCCCCUCUUUAACCAACACCUGCCAUGGCCUCUUCAUGAGCCGAAGAAGGGAUUGAUUUCCAUUAAAUAUCAAAAGAAUGGCAAGUUCAAACAAGCUUAAGAAGCUAUGGAACUGUCUGUAAGAUGGAUUCUAUUUUCCAUUUGUGCACGAAAUACCUUGUUAUCCACAUUAUUUGAAGUUCUAGCCUACAGAGAGAUAAGGACAUUUGAUUGAGUGUGAAAGGAAAGACAGGACAGAUUCUUAUGACCUGAAACAGCACCUCAACUCUUACCUUGGAUAUUUCUACAUGAAGAAUCUGCUCUGAAACUAUAGCAAACAAUCACAGAGUGUUUGAGUGUGAGUCCAGACUGGUUCGGGAAGACCAAGAAGCAAUGAUGAUGUCUGUUUUUGUCAAAUGUCUGAAAACUAUUUUUAUUUUUCUAAAACUUUGUUCAGAAGUCUCAAUAUUGUAGUGUAUAGAGAUGUACACUAAUUUAGUGAUAUGAAGAUGAAGGGCUUUAAGCCUGUGUUCCUUGCAGGCAUCUCAGUACCUAGGAACUCCAAAGAACAAACUGUUGCUCGUGCAAAAUUAAAUUUCAUAAAACAGCAAAGAA